rnacentral:tRNA from 1 species
AGAGAUAUAGUUCAGCGGUAGAGCACAUGCUUACCAUGCAUGAGGGCAAUUUUCAAUCCCUAGCAGCAAACAAAUUAAAAUUUAUUUUUU